ACUCAAAUGAAUUGACGGGGGCCCGCACAAGCGGUGGAGCAUGUGGUUCAAUUCGACGCAACGCGAAGAACCUUACCCAGGCUUGAACAGCGAGUGACCAUCUCCGAAAGGGGACUUCCGCAAGGACACUCGUAGAGGUGCUGCAUGGCUGUCGUCAGCUCGUGUCGUGAGAUGUUGGGUUAAGUCCCGCAACGAGCGCAACCCUUGUCUGCUGUUGCCAUCAGGUAAUGCUGGGCACUCUGCAGAGACUGCCGGUGAUAAACCGGAGGAAGGUGGGGAUGACGUCAAGUCAGCAUGGCCUUUAUGUCUGGGGCUACACACGUGCUACAAUGGCCGGUACAAACCGUCGCAAAACCGUAAGGUCGAGCUAAUCGGAGAAAGCCGGUCUCAGUUCGGAUAGCAGGCUGCAACUCGCCUGCUUGAAGUUGGAAUCGCUAGUAAUCGCGGAUCAGCACGCCGCGGUGAAUACGUUCCCGGGCCUUGUACACACCGCCCGU
rnacentral:rRNA from 1 species